rnacentral:tRNA from 1 species
GCCUGGGUGGCUCAGUACUCUAAGCAUCUGACUUCAGCUCAGGUCAUGAUCUCGUGGUUUGUGGGUUCAAGCCCCACGUCAGGCU